UGGCAUACUGAGAUUCCUCAUGCUCCGCUAGCUUAUCCUGGAGGCUAAGGUCUGGAUCCGUCGCCAAGGAUGGGAUCCAGGAGAAAACGUGCUCAACGUGCAGCUUGUGCCUACCGAUUACAGCCCAAUAGAUGACAUAGUUCCACUGUGAUCAAGUCCAUUGUGGGAGACACGGCCCUCAGGCCCGGCGUCUGUCACAGCCCAAUAUUUGCGGUUACACCCCCGACCGCUCCUCGCAUCACAUCUCAGAAAUCUCAUCCUCUCGGCCUCAUCCCAGAGACUGUGUUGCCUUCACAGUUACACUCUUUUCUCUCUCAGGCGCAGGAACACAGAGUGUCUUGGUCUCUGAGAGCCAAUAUAUCUGGGUUACACCGAAAGAGGAAUAAUGAGGCAAUAUUUGCAUUGUACAUUGAAGAUGACCUGAAAAGCUUGAAGAGGUGACUGAGGGCAUUUUCUCCGUGUGGAUGAGGAAGAGGGGAGGAAGAUGGACGACAACAGAAUCUCUAAGAGCUUGGAUUUGACUCCAGCACAUGAACUGGAUUUUAUGAUUCUGUCCAAGGGCAUCAGUUUAACCUCAAGCUUC